GUUGGGAUGAAAUCAUCCGAGUUCAACAACAUAAUACCAAAGAGUCUUUCAGUCACUAAAAACUUGGUAGGGCAUAUUGAAGGAAGUAGGAUACAUAGUUCCUACAUCAGGCACUGGACGAAACUAGUGGAAAUCUUUGUACAGGUGACCUUAUGUUGGUGCACCAUAGGUUAUUUUGAGAUCAGUUCACCUGUACUUAUUUAUUACUUUUAUGCUUACUAGAUCUUUUUGCGGAUUAUUUAUUGUAAAGAUAUUUUUUUUAUUUGAUUCUCAUUUAUUUAAAUAAUUAGGUGA